CUACUUACCUGGCAGGGAACCAUCGGUGAUCAGGAGGUCCGAGGUUCCAGGACGAGGCUAUCCCAUUGCACUUCGGGUGAGCUGGUGCCUGCGAUAUCCUCAGAUGUGGGAUAUUCGACCGCAUAAUUUGUGGUGGGAGGACUGCCUUCGUGCUCAG